GUAGGCUGAAACUCGCCUACAUGAAGCUGGAGUUACUAGUAAUCGCAGAUCAGAAUGCUGCGGUGAAUGCGUUCCCGGGUCUUGUACACACCGCCCGUCACACCAUGGGAGUCGGUAACACCCGAAGCCUGUAGUCUAACCGCAAGGGGGACGCAGUCGAAGGUGGGAUUGAUGACUGGGGUGAAGUCGUAACAAGGUAAC
rnacentral:rRNA from 1 species